rnacentral:lncRNA from 1 species
UACCCACCCAGCAGGUAUUUUUUUUCUAGUACUUUGACUUUCUUUUCUGUGGCUUUUAGAGAACAGGUACUCACAAAUGUGAAUGUGAAACAGUAACUGGCAGUUGAGAAUGAAGUCACGGUUUAAAAAUAUUCCUUCAUAAAUUUUCAAUGAUUUACCAAGUACGAACGGGGAAGAAAAAUGGCUUCACCCUUGGGUUACUGCACCGAAAGCUUGUGAAGGAUAAAGAAAUGCACAAGGACUAAUGAUCCAUGAGCUCAGUACAAUCUACAGUAGCCGCUGCCAGUUUUAACCCAGCGAAC